GCAGGGGUGGUUCAGUAGUGGAAUUCUGGCCUUCCAUGUGGGAGGCCUGGGGUUGAUUCCCAGCCAGUGCG
rnacentral:tRNA from 1 species